AGCGAACGCUGGCGGCAGGCCUAAUACAUGCAAGUCGAGCGCCCUUUCGGGGGAGCGGCGGACGGGUGAGUAACGCGUGGGAACGUGCCCUAUGGUGCGGAACAACUGAGGGAAACUUCAGCUAAUACCGCAUGAGCGCUACGGCGGAAAGAUUUAUCGCCAUAGGAGCGGCCCGCGUUGGAUUAGCUAGUUGGUGGGGUAAUGGCUCACCAAGGCUACGAUCCAUAGCUGGUCUGAGAGGAUGAUCAGCCACACUGGGACUGAGACACGGCCCAGACUCCUACGGGAGGCAGCAGUAGGGAAUCUUGCGCAAUGGGCGAAAGCCUGACGCAGCCAUGCCGCGUGAAUGAUGAAGGUCUUAGGAUUGUAAAAUUCUUUCACCGGGGACGAUAAUGACGGUACCCGGAGAAGAAGCUCCGGCUAACUUCGUG
rnacentral:rRNA from 2 species